CUGAAGCCAACCUGGGUAAGUUUUUGGGCAGCAGCUUAAGUGGAAGGAGUUCUUAUAGAGAAAGCUACUUGGAGAUGUUUGGCUGACUCUUCUGCUACUGUUUGAGACGCUGUCUGAAGAUGCUGGACCAGAAGACGUGGGAGUUGACACGGGUAUGCUUGGGGAAGUGAUACUGCCUAAGUUAGGUGAUGUGCUCAAGGUCACACAGGAAGUCUGUAGCUAAGCCAGGAAGUGACUCGAGGGCUCCUGAAUCUGCAUUCAUUGACCUCCUCAGAGACCAUCAUUUCUGCCCUACCUACCGUCUCCCAUGCAGUGCUGCAGGAAAGAGACAGUUAGCUGCUGACCUUCAAGCAUGAAAUUCUGCAGAGCUUGGCCACAGCAGAGGAUCCAGUCAAGUUGGUUAUCAGUGCCCCAUCCUAACACACACCUUCAAAACACAUGGCUUAUUCACUCUGCUUGUACACUCUUUGGCUAAGUGCAAUCGCUGAGUGAUUACAAGAGUGGACUGGAAAUCCAAAGGUAUUUCCCUGUACAAAAUCAAAUCCUGUCCACAAGAGAGGCUUGUUUCUUGAGGAAGGGCAUUGGACUAAAUGACCUUUGUGGACACCCUUGCUUUAUUCUUCUAUAUUAAGUAACUGCUCUUUUUUCUCCACAGCAGCUGGUGCUAGUAUGCCAAAAAAACAAUCUUCCUUCUUUAAAAAGAUAUCGAAUGCUCUGGUCAGAGUGCGCUCUCUCCUAUCACUUUGCCUACCGCACAACAGGAUAUUUCCGACAUCUUAAAUCUGUAUUAGGAAAAAUAAAGAGUUUGGAAAAAUUGG